rnacentral:rRNA from 1 species
UGGGGAAUUUUGGACAAUGGGCGAAAGCCUGAUCCAGCAAUGCCGCGUGUGUGAAGAAGGCCUUCGGGUUGUAAAGCACUUUUGUCCGGAAAGAAAUCCUUGGCUCUAAUACAGUCGGGGGAUGACGGUACCGGAAGAAUAAGCACCGGCUAACUACGUGCCAGCAGCCGCGGUAAUACGUAGGGUGCAAGCGUUAAUCGGAAUUACUGGGCGUAAAGCGUGCGCAGGCGGUUUGCUAAGACCGAUGUGAAAUCCCCGGGCUCAACCUGUGAACUGCAUUGGUGACUGGCAGGCUAGAGUAUGGCAGAGGGGGGUAGAAUUCCACGUGUAGCAGUGAAAUGCGUAGAGAUGUGGAGGAAUACCGAUGGCGAAGGCAGCCCCCUGGGCCAAUACUGACGCUCAUGCACGAAAAGCGUGGGGAGCAAAACAGGAUUAGAUACCCUGGUAGUCCACGCCCUAAAACGAUGUCAACUAGUUGUUGGGGAUUCAUUUCCUUAGUAACGUAGCUAACGCGUGAAGUUGACCGCCUGGGGAGUACGGUCGCAAGAUUAAAACUCAAAGGAAUUGACGGGGUCAUAGCUGUUUCCU